UACGAAGGGUGCAAGCGUUGUUCGGAAUCAUUGGGCGUAAAGCGCGCGCAGGCGGAUCAGCAAGUCAGAUGUGAAAUCUCGUAGCUCAACUCCGAAACUGCGUCUGAAACUGCUAGUCUAGAAUGUCGGAGGGGGCAGGGGAAUUUCACGUGUAGGGGUAAAAUCCGUAGAGAUGUGAAGGAACACCGGAGGCGAAGGCGUCUGCCUGGACGACUAUUGACGCUGAGGCGCGAAAGCGUGGGGAGCAAACAGG
rnacentral:rRNA from 1 species